rnacentral:rRNA from 1 species
UGGGGAAUAUUGGGCAAUGGGCGAAAGCCUGACCCAGCAACGCCGCGUGAAGGAAGAAGGUUUUCGGAUUGUAAACUUCUGUCCUCAGGGAAGAAAAAAAUGACGGUACCUGGGGAGGAAGCCCCGGCUAACUACGUGCCAGCAGCCGCGGUAAUACGUAGGGGGCGAGCGUUGUCCGGAAUGACUGGGCGUAAAGGGCGCGUAGACGGCUUAUUAAGUCUGGAGUGAAAGUCCUGCUUUCAAGGUGGGAAUUGCUUUGGAGACUGGAAAGCUUGAGUGCGGAAGAGGUAAGUGGAAUUCCCAGUGUAGCGGUGAAAUGCGUAGAGAUUGGGAAGAACACCAGUGGCGAAGGCGACUUACUGGGCCGUAACUGACGUUGAUGCGCGAAAGCGUGGGGAGCGAACA